rnacentral:lncRNA from 1 species
AGGGACUGUAUCAUACAUUAACUGCACCUAGAGGUUUAUCACCUUUUAUUCUACUGGGUUGUCACCACAUACUGCUAGAUAUCACUGGUAGAUUGUGAGACCUACGAGCAUUAUCUCGAUGAUCGAUGAUCUUUGAUGGGUAGAGUUGGAAUAGUUCCAACCCAUUGAAAGAAGUUUUAAUGAUAUUGUGAUAGAGAUCACAAUAUAUCUCACUAAUAGACAGAAUAGAACCUAUGGGGUCAUACACAA